GUGUCUUCGUGAGGACGAAAUAUUAGCCAUUUGUUUCCGAGACGCUGACUGAAAGUGUACUACAAUUCUACAAAUUCAUUACGGAAUUGCGGUGUCGAUCUACAUUUUCAGCCAUGAAAUGCAAUCUGUCAAUCUGACAUAUAAUUUGACUUGGGUCGAAACUGCUGUCCAUUUUGCCGAAAUGUCGGCGAUUGUUAGCUUAGCUGUACCUAAUUACCUAUUCGGCUCUAGCUCUACGUCUCAUCUCGUGCAGAAACACUUCAGAGCUUGUAAUAAAUUGAUAUAUAGUUCAGAGACAGAGAUCCCUUCGCUCAACUGUUGCAGAAAUUGAAAACACAACAAAGUCUGAGCUUCAUGGCUGUCGUUCAUUAACAUCCAUAGCUUUGUUGCAGCCAGCUGGUGAAAGGUGUGAUCGAGUCAAGUUGAGCUGCAGCUGCUGCAUGCAGUUUAUCAAGCUGGUGUUAUCUAAAUUGUCACUGCAGGAAGACUUCUUGAAUUGGAGUUUGUGGUUGGUUUGGUGUUGCUGUUUGGUCUACAGUGGUUUUGCAGCCCCUUUCCAAUUGAGAGAUCCUCUGAAAUGGAGUUUGGUGCAGACUUGCAGUUCAACAUCACACUUAAAUGUUUCAUUUGCCUAUGUUGGUGUCCAUGCAGUAUUUGCAGUGUUGAACAGUUGGGUAAAAUAGUCAAUGUUGCCUGAUGGCUGUCAGUCUUAUUUUAUCGGCUGCAUUUUGUCGAUAUGUCGUCUCUUGGUACCGGCGUUGAGUUUCAUCGUUUGCUGCCGUUCCAUAGACUUGAUCCAUUGGUAAACUGAGGAGAGAUUGCUGAAAUUCAAGACUCGUCAAUAAAUUAUGUAGAUGUAGAAAAAUUACAAGUGCAUAUCUGGACUCCCUUCUUCAAUGGGCCCGUUUCCCUAAAUAACCACUAACCAACGCCCGCCGGUUUAAAAUCACGACGAUCAGAGCUUAAAAUCACGAUUCACGAGAAAUGGAUUAUUAGAUACAUUUCAUACAAAUAAAUCUGAUGAGAUUGGGGGUAUGAGGGUUUUAGACAAAAAAUAAACUUAAGCUACAGCUAAACCAAGAUGUAUUUCCACUCGCUUGAUUAAUGAUUAAAGGAAAACAAAUGUGAAGAAACUCCCUUACUCGAGUAAAGGGAAGUAA